UUAACACAUGCAAGUCGAGCGGGCGUAGCAAUACGUCAGCGGCAGACGGGUGAGUAACGCGUGGGAACGUACCUUUUGGUUCGGAACAACACAGGGAAACUUGUGCUAAUACCGGAUAAGCCCUUACGGGGAAAGAUUUAUCGCCGAAAGAUCGGCCCGCGUCUGAUUAGCUAGUUGGUGUGGUAACGGCGCACCAAGGCGACGAUCAGUAGCUGGUCUGAGAGGAUGAUCAGCCACAUUGGGACUGAGACACGGCCCAAACUCCUACGGGAGGCAGCAGUGGGGAAUAUUGGACAAUGGGCGCAAGCCUGAUCCAGCCAUGCCGCGUGAGUGAUGAAGGCCCUAGGGUUGUAAAGCUCUUUUGUGCGGGAAGAUGAUGACGGUACCGCAAGAAUAAGCCCCGG
rnacentral:rRNA from 1 species